UACGUAGGGGGCUAGCGUUGUCCGGAAUCAUUGGGCGUAAAGCGCGUGUAGGCGGCCCGGUAAGUCCGCUGUGAAAGUCCAGGGCUCAACCCUGGGAUGCCGGUGGAUACUGUCGGGCUCGAGUCCGGAAGAGGCGAGUGGAAUUCCUGGUGUAGCGGUGAAAUGCGCAGAUAUCGGGAGGAACACCAGUGGCGAAGGCGGCACUCUGGGCCGGAACUGACGCUGAGGAGCGAAAGCGUGGGGAGCGAACAGG
rnacentral:rRNA from 1 species